AACGAACGCUGGCGGCAUGCCUAACACAUGCAAGUCGAACGAGACCUUCGUGUCUAGUGGCGCACGUGUGCGUAACGCGUGGGAACCUGCCCUUAGGUUCGGAAUAACUCCCCGUAAGGGGUCCUAAUACCGGAUAAUGUCUUCGGACCAAAGAUUUAUCGCCUUUGGAUGGGCCCGCGUUGGAUUAGCUGGUUGGUAGGGUAAAAGCCUACCAAGGCGACGAUCCAUAGCUGGUCUGGGAGGAUGAUCAGCUACACUGGGACUGAGACACGGCCCAGACUCCUACGGGAGGGAGCAGUGGGGAAUAUUGGACAAUGGGCGAAAGCGUGAUCCAGCAAUGCCGCGUGAGUGAUGAAGGCCUUAGGGUUGUAAAGCUCUUUUAGCCGGGAUGAUAAUGACAGUACCGGGAGAAUAAGCACCGGCUAACUCCGUG
rnacentral:rRNA from 1 species